rnacentral:rRNA from 1 species
AGGUAGUCAAGAUGAGAAUUCUAAGGUGAGCGAGCGAACUCUCGUUAAGGAACUCGGCAAAAUGACCCCGUAACUUCGGGAGAAGGGGUGCUCUUUAGGGUUAACGCCCAGAAGAGCCGCAGUGAAUAGGCCCAAGCGACUGUUUAUCAAAAACACAGGUCUCUGCUAAACCGUAAGGUGAUGUAUAGGGGCUGACGCCUGCCCGGUGCUGGAAGGUUAAGAGGAGUGGUUAGCUUCUGCGAAGCUACGAAUCGAAGCCCCAGUAAACGGCGGCCGUAACUAUAACGGUCCUAAGGUAGCGAAAUUCCUUGUCGGGUAAGUUCCGACCCGCACGAAAGGCGUAACGAUUUGGGCACUGUCUCAACGAGAGACUCGGUGAAAUCAUAGUACCUGUGAAGAUGCAGGUUACCCGCGACAGGACGGAAAGACCCCGUGGAGCUUUACUGUAGCCUGAUAUUGAAAUUCGGCACAGCUUGUACAGGAUAGGUAGGAGCCUUUGAAACGUGAGCGCUAGCUUACGUGGAGGCGCUGGUGGGAUACUACCCUAGCUGUGUUGGCUUUCUAACCCGCACCACUUAUCGUGGUGGGAGACAGUGUCAGGCGGGCAGUUUGACUGGGGCGGUCGCCUCCUAAAAGGUAACGGAGGCGCUCAAAGGUUCCCUCAGAAUGGUUGGAAAUCAUUCAUAGAGUGUAAAGGCAUAAGGGAGCUUGACUGCGAGACCUACAAGUCGAGCAGGGUCGAAAGACGGACUUAGUGAUCCGGUGGUUCCGCAUGGAAGGGCCAUCGCUCAACGGAUAAAAGCUACCCCGGGGAUAACAGGCUUAUCUCCCCC